rnacentral:rRNA from 1 species
CCUACGGGAGGCAGCAGUGGGGAAUAUUGCGCAAUGGGCGAAAGCCUGACGCAGCGACGCCGCGUGAGGGAUGAAGGUCUGCGGAUCGGAAACCUCUGUCAGCAGGGAAGAACGGUCACGGUGCUAAUCAGCAGUGAAUUGACGGUACCGGCAAAGGAAGCACCGGAUAACUCCGUGCCAGCAGCCGCGGUAAUACGGAGGGGGCGAGCGUUAAUCGGAAUUAAUGGGCGUAAAGCGCUCGUAGGCGGUAUGUCAAGUCAAGGGUGAAAUCCCCGCGCUCAACGUGGGAACGGCCUUUGAAACUGGCAACCUGGAGUGUGUGAGAGGCUAGUGGCAUUCCAGGUGU